rnacentral:rRNA from 1 species
GACGAACGCUGGCGGCGUGCCUAACACAUGCAAGUCGAACGAGACGUCCGGGUCUAGUGCCGCACGGCUACGUACCAAGUGGGAAGUUGCCCUUGGGUUAGGUAUAACUCACCGUAGGGUAUGCUAAGACCAGUGAGUGUCAUAGGGGCAAUGAUCUACCGAGAUUGGGUGGGCGCGAGUUGGUUUUGCUGGGUGGUAGAGGAAUAGCCUACCAAGGAGACGAGCCAUAGCUGGUCUGAGAGGAUGCUCAGCCACGCUGGGACUGAGGCACGGCCCAGACUCCGACGGAAGGGAGCAGUGGAGAAUAUAGUACGAUGGACGCAGGCGUGAUCCAGCCAUGCCGGGUGAGUGAUGAAGGCCGUAGGGUUGUAAAGCUCUUUUACCCAGGGUGAUAAUGACGGUACCGGGAGAAUAAGCUCCGGCUAACUCCGUG